GAUGAAGAACGUAGCAAAAUGCGAUAAGUAAUGUGAAUUGCAGAAUUCAGUGAAUCAUCGAAUCUUUGAACGCACAUUGCGCCCGCCAGUAUUCUGGCGGGCAUGCCUGUCCGAGCGUCAUUUCAACCCUCGAACCCCUCCGGGGGGUCGGCGUUGGGGACCUCGGGAGCCCCUAAGACGGGAUCCCGGCCCCGAAAUACAGUGGCGGUCUCGCCGCAGCCUCUCCUGCGCAGUAGUUUGCACAACUCGCACCGGGAGCGCGGCGCGUCCACGUCCGUAAAACACCCAACUUCUGAAAUGUUGACCUCGGAUCAGGUAGGAAUACCCGCUGAACUUAAGCAUAUCAAUAAGCGGAGGA
rnacentral:misc_RNA from 1 species